GCGCGGGUGGCGGAAUUGGCAGACGUGCUGGAUUCAGGAUCCAGUCGAGGAUUCCGCGGGGGGCGAGCUGCUUCCCGCGCACCA
rnacentral:tRNA from 1 species